rnacentral:misc_RNA from 1 species
AAGAUGAUGUACCAGUUUUUGAGCCUUCAUGAAGGGCCAAUUACUAAGGUUAGCCUUGAUAUUGUUCUUCUAGCAAGCUGUCCUGAGAUUGACAACUUCAUAUAUUUCCUCUCGAGGAAUAACAUUCAACAUCUUGCACUUCACCUUCCACAUAGAAAUGAAUACAAAUUGCCUUCUUCACUUUUCACAUGUUCGCAGCUGAGGCAUCUAAGUCUUGCUUAUUGCUCAAUACAACAUCCAUU